CCCCCCCCCCCCCCCCCCCCCCCCCCCCCCCCCCCCCCCCCCCCCCCCCCCCCCCCCCCCCCCCCCCCCUCCCCCGGAGCCCCGGGCGCGCUCCCGUCCCCCUUCCCGCGUGUCCGUGUCCCCGGUGUCCCCACGCGUGGCGGCGGAGGGAAGGUUCGAGAAGGCGUUUGAGCGGGAUCAGAGCAGUGCCCCAGGUCGCUGCGGGGAGCCGGGGAUGCAGUUUUAGGGGUGGAAUUGUGGUAGAAGCAGGUCCCGGAUCUCGCUGUGAGGGGUCCUGACGGCUCCGGUUCGGUGUUUGUGCCGGGAGGAGGGUGGUGGGCGGCUCUGACUCGUCUGGCUCCAUCCCCGCCGUGCUGGGGGGCUCUGCCCGCUCCAUGCCCCGAGGAAAACGCUGGGACCCCCGGCCAAGCCCCUGCUCCCCCUGAAACCUUGCAUGCCCCCUUGCCCCACACCGCUUAUUUUUGCCUGCCUCGCUCCUGUUGCAUUUCAGUGAGUCACGCAAUUAAUCCUUGGCAAUUGCCUUCUCGAUAUUGCUUUAUGCCCUGUGUUUAAAUUCCUUUGUGUCCUUUGAGCUGAAAAAUAAGGCGCUGAGAAGAGGGACUACUUUUGCCGAAGGGAUUUUUGUUUCCCUGCCUGUGCCUCGAGCGUGGCUGCGGGCGUGUGGCCGCUGGGAGGGCCCAGCCGGGGUUUCCUAUGGCAGUGGGAGAGGUUGCUGGUCCAGGGGCCGGCUUGGCUCCUUUCCGAGCUCCCCAAGGCUGGGGGAGGCUGUUUUGGGGCUCUGUGGCUGCCCUGUGUGGACGUGGCUGGGGUCUGGUUGUGGCCAUGGUGAUGUUGCUCCUUGCAGAAAAAUGUGCAAGGUUUCAAACCUCUCCAGGAGGCAAAAGUCACCUAAAGGGAACACGGAGAGACAGAAAAAGACCUUUUCAAAUCCGGCUGGGGCUGGGAGGACCCCGGUGGGUGUCGGACGUGGGGACAGCAGUGUCGGGGUUGUGCUGGUGGCUCCUUUCCCCGUGGCACAGCAGCACCUCGUCCAGCUCGCCCGGAGCUGCCGGGACCUGCAGCGCUUGACUCGCCGGUGACCCCGGUGCCGGCGCUCGCCGAAGUCGCGCCCACCGUCACUCACCCCGCGCCGCGAGGAAAAAGCUCCGAUUAUCCAAAUACAGCCAUUAAAGGGGAAAUGUGUUUUUAGGACUGUCAGAGUGAUUAAUGAGGGUUAGCAAUCCUUGCAAAUGCACUUGUUUAGUCUAACUGGCAGCCUCUCCUCGGCUAUUGAUUUAGGGCGGCAGUUGCCGUGUGGAAGGAGCGGGGCUGCGCCGGGGCACGGCGCGGGGCCCGGCCGAGCGGCACGGCACGGCACGGCACGGCACGCUCUGCUCUGCCGGAGGCAGCCCAACAAAGGCAACAUUAUCCCCUGCGCCGGGGAAGGAAUGACUUGGACGCACACGCCGGGCGCUCCGCGUGCCUUAUAAAUAUCCCCGUCUGUAAAGCCCGAAGCCCGGCUGACCACAGCCACGCCGUCCGCCCAAUAAAUACCUGAAUCAAAGAGCCAGGCCCUAUUUUUUCUUGUUGUUUUCCUUCCUCUCCUGCACAAAAAUCCCCGAUGUCUUCUAGGUGAUGCAGAGGUGGCUGCCCGCAGACGUACAAGGCGUUUCAGAGUCCGGAGCGGAGCACGGCGUCCUCGAGGGCUGGAGCCUGCCCGGGGUCAGGUCGGGAUGCAGAGGCAUGGGCCAGAGCAGAGCCGUGGUGGGCGGAUGAGAAGUUCCUCAGCUGCAUAAAGCAGCUUUUCUUUCCACGUGAGCGCUGCUGGAAGCCACGGAGAACACGGGCUCUGUUUGUCCUCAAAGCCAGAGUGCCGUGGACACCUUCUGUCCCCUCACCAGCAUCCCCGUGCCCAGCCUGGGGUCAGGGGUUUGCUUUGGGGCACACUUGGAGCUGAGAGCAGACCUGGAGGGACAGAGCCGUGCUUGGAGGUGGCAGCUGAGGUCCUUUGCCAGGGCUGUGAGCUGGAGCCCUGCGGGAGGAGCAGCUGGAGUGGUGACACAGAGCGGCCGGGAUGGCACCGGGGUGUGGAGCUCCCCUGGGGUGGCACCGUGAGCACUGCCCCACACUGCCCUGGUGUGGGGUUCACCUCCAGCCACUCCGAGCAGUGGCACAGCACAAGUGACAAGAGAACGAGGUGAGUGGAGAAGAGACAAAGGCACCAAAGCAAGAAUAGUGUGGGCAAGCACCUGAGGCACUACAGUGGCCAGGAAUGCCACGAAUGGGAAUGGACUUUCCUCUGGAUAACGGCUGAAGAGCUGCUGCUGCCUCUGCCCUGGCCACAGAUUGGUGUGUGGUGCAAAUCCUCCAGCAGCAAAUCCUCCAGCAGCUCCAGUUCCAGCUUCAGCAGUGAUAUGCCAGCAUCUUCCUCACUGCACCAGGACACCCGGCCUUGGCUGGUCACCAGUGACCCCGUGGGAAGUGCCCAGUGUGACCAUGGCCGUGGUUUUUCCUGUUCUGCAGUGUCUGAUCAGCGUGGCAGACCAGCACAGGGCCCCUGGCAGGUGACAAACCCUGGUCCUGGGCUGAGCCGUGGCAGUGGUCCCGCUCCCUCCUGCAGGGUCACAGUCCCCUCUGCUUAUUGUGGUGAAUGACUGCAGGGUGCUGGUCCUUACACACAAACAUUGCAGCUGAACCUCACGGAGGGCGCAGGGGAGGGCGCUCAGCAGGCAGCUCCGUGUGCAGAGCAGGCUCCUGGAGCUCAGUCACAGAGAUUUACGCAGCCCCUUGUGUCUCCUGAAGGUGUUCGUGGAAAUCUCCAGGAGCAGCUUUGCCAUGACUUCAUCCCACCUUGCAGCGUGGUGCAGGGAGACAGGACAGGUGGAUGUGACCCACGGGGAGGUGCCUUUGCCAAAGGUGACAGUGGAACCCUGACCCUGGUGGGCUGAGCAGAGCUGGACAGGACACCCGACACUGUGCAGGGUGCAACGUGACCUCUACCAACACCUUGUGGUCCCAAAAUUCAUGGAUCACCCCUCUUGGCCUGGCAAAAUUUGGAAGGAGAUGAAGGAUGCAGCAUCCUGGGCAUCUGGUGGCUUCUGGGGCUUGACAGACCCUUCCUGCAGACACCUCAGUGAACAGAGAACUGAAAUGGCCUUUUUUGUGUCCCCUGCAGCUGCAAAGGGGCUGUGCCAGUGCCCACCACAGCAGCCCCUGCAUCUCCAGUGC
ensembl:lncRNA